rnacentral:rRNA from 1 species
UUUACUUUUCACUUAAAACACUAUCGUCGCGCAAUGAGCGAUCUCUGGUUGUGUCCACGUCGGCAGGGUGGCACUGUCCGUGCUGGCCAAUUGGAAGGAAACAUUCCCUUCGUAGGAAAAAAAGGCGUGGUCGUUUCCUUCCUCGAGAAGACAGAGAGAGGACGCACGCCACCUCCUCCCCACCUUCGCCAGAUACGACCGCCCAUUCAUCGCCGCCACCCAUCGCGUCGCCCGCCCCCGCCCGCAACCUUCUCUCGUCUUCCACCCAUCCUCGCCGCGCCAUCGCACUCCCGCAAUCCUGUUAGCCUCUCUCCCUGACAUGGCUUCACUUCCCGGUGCGAAACCCUAGCGGCGGCAGCGGCGGCGGCGGCGGCGGCGGAUUGGUGUGGGAGGUGGUUAGACGGCGGCCUCAGGCAGGGGCAUACUGUAGGUGGCUCGACAGUCGCCUGGCAGGCUGUAUAGGCAGCGGAGGUGGAGGUCGUGCGAGGCGGCUCUUCCGCCGAUCCGUUCGUUCGAGUCCUUGGUUGCUGCGUUGACUUUCCUGGCUGCCGCCAUGCUAGCAAGCACGGCCACUGCGACGUCUUCUCUGGUGCUACCGGCAAGCAGCCGACCACAGCACUGCCAUGCCUCCGAUGCUCCAUGGUAGCCGGCCCUACAUCUCCACUCAGAAAGGAAAAUGCUGGAGCCAAUGGAUGUUUAGUGGGACUACGUUCUGAUUUGACAAAGCUAAAGGAAGCAUAUAUCACAAAUUUCUAUCGGAAAGAGAAUAUGGGGAUGGUGUUUCAUUCUUGGCCAGCUGCGGUUGCUGGCAGUGGAGGAGCAGCAGCGGCCGAUGGCGGCGGACCAGAUCGGCGUAUCAUGGGAGCGGCCACGACGGCCGUCACGAGUGGAGCAGAGCCAAGUUGGCGCGGCGGCCGGGCGCGAUCUGGAGAACCUAUGAGUGUGGUGCGCUAUCGAGGCAGUCGCGACUUGCGCGAGUUGGAGGCGAGGUGACGGUGUUGACUGGGACGCCGUCGCAGAUCCUCAUCGUGCCGGCGGGCGAGGAGCUCGUUGAGGAUCUCCUCUUCUCCAGGGAUCCACGACGGAGGUGCUCGAGGAGGAAGUUCUUCUCGGAUGCCAUGGAAAUUGUCAAGAAGCACAUGCUGAUGGUGCCCUUGCCUUUGGGAUUAAAGAAGACCAGCUUACAACACUGACCAGAGAUCAUAAAUACUCUACUCUGCAGCAGUAUGAAUGGGGCUAGCAAAUAUGUUAAAGACAAAUACAGAGAAGUGGGUCAGGGGAGUGGCUUCCAAUAUUGAUGCGAGAAAAAAAUGCCUUUUGGUCGAACACAUACCCCUGUAAGAAAGGAAGAAGCUCCUUGGUAAUGGAGAUGCUAUGUCAGAUUGCUAUGAAGAAUGUCGAGACCCACCACGACUUUACCUUCUCGACAGAUUUGAUAAUGCUGGUGUUGGGACUUGUUUGAAGAGAUAUUCUGAUCCAUCAUACUUCAAGAAAUCAUUGGAUGUGAUGAGAGCAGACAAGACUGCACAUCUCCAAAAAGAAAGGAGAUCUCACAAAAUCAAGGAUUCGCGGUUGAUUUCAGGGGAGAUCACUAUUGUGAGGAAAUCAAGAAGUUGAGAGUUGGCUGGACUAUGUGAGGAAGCGGGUUCAGGAGCUCAAAGCCAACAACAACCAGGGCUUGGCAAAAGAUUCCUUACAAGCACUUAAGAAGAUAUCCCAGGAGUGUCCAACUGCCUGCUUGAGGGCUGACGCACUAAUUGCAGUGCCGUCAUAUCUUGACUUCUUCUCCAUCGGUGUUCAAGAAGCUUCCUUGAGACGCCUCAGAUUUCGUAAUGGAAGCGGUUCAACUGCUAACAAAUUUUCUCAACUACCAUGAUGCAAAAGUGUUGGAACAUGUUUCCAUUUGCCUGACUCGUAUAGCAGAAUCGUUUGCUUCGUCUUCAAGGAAACUGGAUCAAUUUUGCAAGCAUGGAUUGGUUGCACAAGCGGCUAGCUUAAUAGCUGUUAGCAGCGGGACAAGCAUCACUGAGUGGAUCUCCAUUGGCAGCUAAAAUACUCCAUGGAAUUAGCGGCACACUUAAAGUUAUCCUUGCGGGUGCUGGACGCUGAGGACCAGGAAGUGGUGGAACUGUCAGUCCGUCCACGUUCUAAAGCUGUAUUUGUUUGUAUUUGUGCACACCGUAAAAUAGCUAAGUUGCAGGUUGUUAGGAGUACUGUGCUGCAGUUCCACUUAUAUGGAAAGAGACGAUAUUCAUUUUCAUUGACUGUCAUGGAGUUUGCUUUGCUUUUCACAUAAAACGCUGACCAAAGACCUCAUCAUUGCCAUGUGCAUGUGCUAAAAAAAGAUGAAGAAAGCAACUUGAAUGGGCGGAGACAUACCUGGCACCGCAGAGUCACCACUCAGGAGGCGCACCAAGGGUGCGACCACUAGUUAUGAAGAUGUGUGAGCAGCCAAAAAGAAAUAGCAUAUCAAUGUUACUAUGACUGAAUUAAUUAGGGAAGGACAAC